rnacentral:misc_RNA from 1 species
AACGCGCAUUGCGCUCUCUGGUAUUCCGGAGAGCAUGCUUGUUUGAGUAUCAGUACAACACCCUCAGCUCCCUGUUCUCUCUCUGAGAGCAGCAGGAAGUUGGACUUGAGUGAUUCCAACGGCGGUAGAAACCGCUGGCGGGCCGCUUGAAAUGCAGGUGCGGCAGGACACAUCUUCUGAGCUAUAAGCAUUACUUAUUUAGUCCCGUUAAACGGAUUAUCUCUAUUGCUGCAGCUAAGAUACUAAAGGUCGAUUGCCCUUUUUGCCCGACUGAUGCAGGAAAAUGAAGCCGAUCUUUUGGGGGGGGUAAAACUUCCCGAGACGACUUUGUUCAACUCGAUCUCAAAUCAAGCAAGACUACCCGCUGAACUUAA